AGCGAACGCUGGCGGCAGGCCUAACACAUGCAAGUCGAACGAACCUUUCGGGGUUAGUGGCGGACGGGUGAGUAACACGUGGGAACGUGCCUUUAGGUUCGGAAUAACUCAGGGAAACUUGUGCUAAUACCGAAUGUGCCCUUCGGGGGAAAGAUUUAUCGCCUUUAGAGCGGCCCGCGUCUGAUUAGCUAGUUGGUUGAGGUAAUGGCUCACCAAGGCGACGAGCAGUAGCUGGUCGGAGAGGAUGAUCAGCCACAUUGGGACUGAGACACGGCCCAAACUCCUACGGGAGGCAGCAGUGGGGAAUCUUGCGCAAUGGGCGAAAGCCUGACGCAGCCAUGCCGCGUGAAUGAUGAAGGUCUUAGGAUUGUAAAAUUCUUUCACCGGGGACGAUAAUGACGGUACCCGGAGAAGAAGCCCCGGCUAACUUCGUG
rnacentral:rRNA from 1 species